rnacentral:rRNA from 1 species
AACUUUCACCAACGAACCUCUGGGUUCCGGCACCGAGGAAGACCGCAGCGAAAGGCGAUAAUUAAGGUGAAUUGCAGAAUUCGGUGAAUCAUCGAGUCUUUGAACGCACAUUGCGCCCCCUGGUAUUCCGGGGGGCAUGCCUGUCCGAGCGUCAUU